AUAGACUGGGAACAACUUUUACAUAGAUGAAUAAGGGGACCCUGUGAUCUGGGUUUCCCUUAAGUGACAAACGGCAAAUAUGAUCUGGUACCAAGAUGUAAGACAGAGUGGCGUUGGUGAAAGGGAUGAAUAUCAUGGAUCAUUUCAUACAUAACUUGUUAGUUAUGUUUAUUUUAUGUAUAAAAUAAUACAAAUUAAAAAUACUGUUUCUCAA